UCCCACCCUGCCUCUGGGCUUUGCUCAUCCCCGAGAGAUAAUACUACCUUUGGAUCUUUCUCCUGUGGCUCUUCCCCUGCAUAGCUUCCAGGACUGCAUGUUUCUCUUACAGAGUGCUCAUAACGAAAUCUAAGUCAACCCCCUAGCUUUGACAGGUGAAGCCCUCUGGGAGGCUGGCUGUUCCAGGAGCCAGGACAACACUGGAAUGUCCUUCCAAAGCAGGACCCAAACAGCUGAGGGGCUCCAGUUACCCAAGAGGAAGAACUUAAAGGCCCUGGCCCGAUGGUAUCUGAGGUUUCUGACAGGCAGAAG
rnacentral:lncRNA from 1 species